CACGCAGGCGGAUUGAUAAGUCAGGGGUGAAAUCCCGGGGCUCAACCUCGGAAUUGCCUUUGAUACUGUCUGUCUUGAGUUCGGGAGGGGUUGGCGGAAUUCCUAGUGUAGAGGUGAAAUUCGUAGAUAUUAGGAAGAACACCAGUGGCGAAGGCGGCCAACUGGCCCGAUACUGACGCUCAUGUGCGAAAGCGUGGGGAGCAAACAGGAUUAGAUACCCUGGUAGUCCACGCCGUAAACUAUGGAUGCUAGCCGUUGGGGAGCUUGCUCUUCAGUGGCGCAGCUAACGUCUUAAGCAUCCCGCCUGGGGAGUACGGUCGCAAGAUUAAA
rnacentral:rRNA from 1 species